CGCCGGUCCCCUCCUGGUGGCCUCCGAGCGCUCGGUCCUGCGGCCUGGCGCUGCUCGUGACCUCUUGAGUUACGCCUCACGGCUUUCCUGUGGUGCCAGCUGCUCUGAAAACGCCCCGAACGAUGGCAGUGCUUGCUGGAGCGUCGAGAUGAGGCAAGCUGCUGGGUUUCGCCAGUGGCUCAAGCCUGCAGUCAUUGCCUCAACGAUAGUGGGACUUUGCUGCCCGUGGGUUUGCUUGCAGGAGUCUGUUUGCUGCGCCGAUCCACUGACAUCAGAUGGCCUGACCAAUGUUGCAAUCACUGGGUGUAAGGAGAUUCCACUCUGCUGAUCUGUUUGGGAUCUGCCUCAAAGGAAACGCGACAAACAGCACCCAGAGGCCAUUGCAAGAAGUGGGAGCUGUGUUAAGCAACAUGCUCCACAAGCACAUAGGAAGGCAGGAUAUUCUGCUUGGAAAUCUUGCAACCUUUGUGGAGACAAGCUACAGCAGAGAAUAUAAGCAGAACCAUCACACAAAGUUCCUGUGGACACUGCCAAAUGCAACUGGAGAGGAGGAACAGGAGUCAGGUUCAAGAUCCACAGUGCUCUUGAAGAUCAGCCUGUUUAUCUUUGGGCUUGGAGAUAUUUUGUAAAUUUUAGAAGUUGUCUCAGUAGGAUUUGAUGGAGAAUCAUGGGUAGUGAAGGACCUUCAGAAAAUGUUCUUGGAGUCCUCAGAAAAUUAGUUGUUCUUUUGCUUCUCAACGCCAUACAGUCCAGACAAUCAGAAGAUGAGAUUCAUGUAUCCCAUUUCUGAAGUGAUUAUAGAAAUUUAUACAUAUACAUGGACACCAAGUAUGCACACAUAUAUAUAAAUAUAUGUAUAUGUAUGUACCCUACAUGCAUAUGUAUGUACCCUACCAGAACAGAAAUGUGCAGUGCAUAUAAAACCACAGACAUUUUCUGGCAUGUGUUGUAUGUUAGUGUCAUGCUCUAUCCGUGUAUCUGAGUCAGUGAAACAUUUGCUGUGGCAAAAAUCUGUUCUGACAUAGCUGUGUUCCCAGCUGGCACAGCAUAGGUUGCUGUGCUGUUCCCUGCUCGCUGACAAAGCGUGGCACUUUGCAGAGUUUGGAGCAGCUCUGGGUGAACAUUAAAAGCAAGACAUUAUUAAAGCAUUAGUCCAGUGAGAAUGGCUUGUCAACAUAGAGCAAAAUCAUUUAGUUAACAACAGCUUAGAUACGUGUCUGAGACUGUUUUGCUGGGCAGACAAAGUUGCUAGGCAUGGGACUUGUUAUUGAUCUCCUGAGAGUUAGCGUCUCUUUAAAUCACCGAGAAGAUAAAGCAACAAAUGUAUUGACACAUAUAUUUUAAGGUCAAGAAGGCUAUUAUUAUCACAUAAUGUUACUUCUUGGAUAUUGCAUUAUUUCAUUCACAAAAAAUCAUAGAAUCACGGAAUGGCCUGGUUUGAAAAGGUGAUCAGAUGAUCAUCUGAUUUCAACCCCCUGCUCUGUGCAGGGUCACCAACCAGCAGACCAGGCUGCCCAGAGCCACAUCCAGCCUGGCCU